rnacentral:rRNA from 1 species
CCUACGGGAGGCAGCAGUGAGGAAUAUUGGUCAAUGGGCGGAAGACUGAACCAGCCAAGUAGCGUGCAGGAUGACGGCACUAUGGGUUGUAAACUGCUUUUAUACGGGAAUAAAGUGCGUUACGUGUAGCGUUUUGCAUGUACCGCAUGAAUAAGGACCGGCUAAUUCCGUGCCAGCAGCCGCGGUAAUACGGAAGGUCCGGGCGUUAUCCGGAUUUAUUGGGUUUAAAGGGGGCGCAGGCAGCAUCUUAAGCGUGCUGGGAAAUGCCCGGGCUCAACCCGGGGACUGCCGCGCGAACUGGCGUGCUUGAGUGCGCGGGAGGUAGGCGGAAUUCGUGGUGUAGCGGUGAAAUGCUUAGAUAUGACGAAGAACUCCGAUUGCGAAGGCAGCUUGCCGCAGCGGCACUGACGCUGAGGCUCGAAGGCGUGGGUAUCGAACAGGAUUAGAUACCCGAGUAGUC